rnacentral:lncRNA from 1 species
UGCUAAAGCUAGGAAGAAAUAACCAAGGGAAAAAAAAAAUCCAUCUAUCAGUCCAGAUGGUAUGAAAAGGAUGUUAAUCAAAAUAGCAUUCAGGAACAUCUGGUCUCAUAAGCUUUGUUUAUCAUUUCCUAGGCCUCAGAAAAAGCUUUGUGAGUUGUAGGUGGCCUGGUAUUUCUCACAGUGUUCCAGAUGUUUCUCCUGAAGUCAAGGACAGACACAGGAAAUUUGUUUAACAUUAUAAUUUUUAAUCAUGAACAGGACGUGAUACUUUUGACUUUCAUUUCCUCUCAGCACCUUCUCAGAUGUUAUAUUUUUAUUCAUUUUUAAAGGUUAUUAAAAUAAUAUCUCACCUUCACAUCCCACUGUUACUGACUGCAGGAAAUAAAAUACAUAUUUUUUUUGUUUUUAUUUUCUCCAAACCUGGCAUAGUUUCUCUCACUUUCUGAGUCCUCCAUAAAUAUGUGAAUUAAAUAAAUAUAGGGAUGAGUGAUCAAAUUAAUUAAAAUUUUACAUUUCUCUCUUAUGUGAGCAUAGUAAGAUUACAAUAAGAUACCCCCAAAUGCAUACCCACACAUAACUGGUUUUGUGAAAAGAUGAGAAAAAGUAAAUUAUUCCAAGAGAAAUGUUUCAUAUUGUCACCUUCCAGUGCCAGGUCAAGUGACCUCAUGGAUUCUUCAUCAACUAGUGAUCAAUAUAAGCAAUAGCAGCAUUGUCUAUGCUAGGAUUCCAUGAAAUAAUGAUCUCAGCUGUGAAAUUUAUAUGUGUUUCCAUGGUUUUCUAGUUAAAUAUGCUGGUACAGUGCCUGAGGCCCCCUGAGACUCCUGCAGUUUCAGGAAUAUGCUUUCUUUAUGGCACAGGACUGUUUAUUCAUAACUGUCAAACCACCAGCAAGUUAUCAACCCACAUUCAAGCAGGCACCAAGCUAUAUUUUUGUUAAUGUGAGCUCUUAAGGGAAACAGAAACUAGACUGUGUUUUUAUAUAAUUUUAAGCUCAUGAGAGAAAACACAAGGAUGUUUUCAAAACAAUAAAAUUCUUUCUCCUUAAGAGUUUUUCUUUUUUUUUUUUUCCUUUCUUUUCUUUCUUUUUUUUUUUUGUGGUGUUGUUUAAGCAAGGACUGUUUUGGAAAUACUGACAGGAUCUUAGCAAAGGCAUCCAGCGGGAAACAUAUAAUAUGUUUAUUUAUCUUAGAAACCACAAGAACAUUGCAAAAGGCCAGAAUUGGCCCUGUAAAAUGUGUUACUAACAUGUACAGUAUGACUGCUCAGUCUGGAUAAAGUUAAGGCAUUUCGGCCCUGAUAAAGAAGAGCAAUCGAUAUUCUGGCAUCUCCCAAAUUUAUGCCUAUAGCCCACCCCUCUCCCCUGAAGUUCAGACUCCUAGAUCCAAAGCCUCUUUUAUACCUCCACAUGGGAAUAGGCAUCUUGAAAGAAUGAACACUUCCAAAACCAGAUUUUGAUUUCAGCCUCCCUCCACCCCAGCCUCUCAGUGUUUCCCAUCUCAGUCAAUGGUGACUUCAUCCUCCCAGCAGUUCAGGCCAAAAUUCCUGGAGCCGUCUCUGUCUCUAUUCUUUCUCUCUCACAACCCAUUUGAGCUUCCUAGUCCUCUGUAGCUUCAGAACACUUCCAUAUUGUAACCGCGUCUCACCACCGUCUCUGCUGCUGUCUGGGUCAAAACCAUCAUCCUCAUCCCUUGCUUAUUGCAGUCGUGUCCUCAAUAUCCCACCCUGGGUCCCUCCCUGUCCCUCGGGAGUCUGUGCAACCUGAGGUUGCCUUUCACAGGCAGUGCAAUCAAGUCAUUCUCUUGCCGAAAACACUUAAAUAGUGUCCAGUCUUGCCGGGGAGGGAAGGGGUGAAAAUGGUCUUUAACAUUGCCUUAAAAGUCCGGCAGAAUUUAGGUUCCCAUUACUUCUCUGACCUCAAGCCACAUGUUGCCUCUCCUCGUUCAUUUUACCUCUGCACGUUUGACCUCUCUGCUGUUCCUGGAGCCUGCCGUGCAUCUUCCUAAACUUGGGCUCCCUUUGGGGGCUUUCUUCCUUCUGUCCUUUCUAUCUCUGCUCAAAUGUUACUUUCUCAGAAGGUCUUUUUUCAGACCAUCCCUUAUAAAAUGACGAGUCCCAUUGUCUCAUGUUCCGAUUCCUUGAGCCUUCUUUUCUUUCCUCCCUUUCAUCUGUCAUCCCUCAAAGGCCUCUUCCCACAGCAAUGUCUGCUACAUGAGGGUAAGAUAUUGUUCAUUGCUCUAUCUCAGCCACGAGGACAGUGUCAGACCCACAGGAGGUCUUUAAUAAAUAUGUGUUGAAUGAAUGAAGUGAUAUGUGCUUCCUAACACAAAUGUCGGGCCUGGAUAGAAGGGCUGAUUAUUUUGAUAUUCACAUAUAUUUUAAAAUCGAUUAGUAUUUCUGUGCUUGUCUGUGGAGGCCUGGAAGCAUUGACUUAGCCCUCAUUGAUUGUCCCUGUUGGAAUAAGGAGCUUGGUGUUUUGACUAUCAGUGGCCAACUAGUGGCUGGGAAUCAUGUUCUCAGGGGAUGUCUCAUCCAGGCUUUCUCUGGCUGUCUUGCACUGGGUGGGGACACAAGGACUUUGUCUUACUUCAGAAUUAUUUAAUUCCACUUGAAGGUUGUUUUACAUCCCUGGAUGUUUAUAGUUGAUUGUAAUAAGUUUGGUGUUUUCCCUGUCUUGGUUUUUCUGUGUUUUCCACUGUUAUACUUUGUAGUGUGAAACUGACAGUCUGUCGUGGACCUGUGACUUGAAAUAACUGUGACAGAUGGUGCACUAAGGAUACAUAAACAAAACCCCUGAAAGAAACUCUUCAGCAAUAAAUGUGAGAAUUAAAAAAUGAGCAGCAAAGUCAGAAAUGAAAUAUCAGCUCAGCAACCUAUGUAACACCUGUGCGAGCAGUAGCAGAAUCUGAAGGGCAGUGAAGUCUUGGAAAGAGUUAACAGUGUGGAUUUCGGAGCAGUCCUGGAACAGGCUUUGCUAGAACUUUGGAUGAAUGAGAAACUGUUGUAUAUACAUUUGGGGUUUACAUAAGGGAUCAGACAUCUCUUUGUUUGCCUGGAAGUUAAGGCAAUGAGAUCCUGGAUUUGCAAUAAACUGUGGAAUGAGGAGUUCCUUAGAAUUGUAUUAUGAAGAAAAAAGAAAAAAGAAAAGAAAGGGAUUGAGGAUGACUCAGUAAAAUGAAUGAACCAGGAAAAAAGCAGACACCCAGGUUAUGCCUGAUUUAUACGACGAGAAUGACAUAGUAACUUUCAUUGCCAGAUCAAGGUCAUGCAAGAGGAAUGCAUUAAAAGAACAUAAAUACUGUGUUCUGGAAAUUUGGGGUCACUUGGAUGUGGUAAGAGGGACAGCCCUGAAGACAAAACGGUAUACAACCUGGGCCAGCAUAAAUGUAUGAAGGACGCUGAACCAACCACGAAGGACCAGAGGCAAAUUCACAGUUUUUAACUUCUUAUGUAAACCACACAAAUAAAAGUGUUAGUAAAAAGAAAGACAAUAAGUACGCA